GAUUAGAGUUUGAUCAUGGCUCAGAUUGAACGCUGGCGGUAGGCUUAACACAUGCAAGUCGUGCGAGAAAGUAUCUUCGGAUAUGAGUAGAGCGGCGGACGGGUGAGUAACGCGUAGGAAUCUACCUAGUAGAAGGGGAUAGCCCGGGGAAACUCGGAUUAAUACCGUAUACCUCCUUCGGGAGAAAGAAGGCCUCUCUUUGAAGCUUUCGCUAUUAGAUGAGCCUGCGUAAGAUUAGCUUGUUGGUGAGGUAAAGGCUCACCAAGGCGACGAUCUUUAGCGGGUCUGAGAGGACGAUCCGCCACAUUGGGACUGAGACACGGCCCAGACUCCUACGGGAGGCAGCAGUGGGGAAUAUUGGACAAUGGGCGCAAGCCUGAUCCAGCCAUACCGCGUGUGUGAAGAAGGCCCUAGGGUUGUAAAGCACUUUAAGUUGGGAAGAAAAGUUAUUGGUUAAUACCCAAUAACCGUGACAUUACCAUCAGAAUAAGGACCGGCUAAUUCCGUGCCAGCAGCCGCGGUAAUACGGAAGGUCCAAGCGUUAAUCGGAAUUACUGGGCGUAAAGCGCGCGUAGGUGGUUUAUUAAGUUGGAUGUGAAAUCCCCGGGCUCAACCUGGGAACUGCAUCCAAAACUGAUUCACUAGAGUACGAUAGAGGGAGGUAGAAUUCACAGUGUAGCGGUGGAAUGCGUAGAUAUUGUGAAGAAUACCAAUGGCGAAGGCAGCCUCCUGGAUCUGUACUGACACUGAGGUGCGAAAGCGUGGGUAGCGAACAGGAUUAGAUACCCUGGUAGUCCACGCCGUAAACGAUGUCAACUAGCUGUUGGAGAACUAUGUUCUUCAGUGGCGCAGCUAACGUAGUAAGUUGACCGCCUGGGGAGUACGGCCGCAAGGCUAAAACUCAAAUGAAUUGACGGGGACCCGCACAAGCGGUGGAGCAUGUGGUUUAAUUCGAUGCAACGCGAAAAACCUUACCUAUACUUGACAUACUUGGAAUGCUUUGUAAUGAAGCAGUGCCUUCGGGAGCCAAGAUACAGGUGCUGCAUGGCUGUCGUCAGCUCGUGUCGUGAGAUGUUCCGUUAAGUCGGAUAACGAGCGCAACCCUUACCCUUAUUUGCCAGCGAUUCGGUCGGGAACUAUAAGGGGACUGCCGGUGAUAAACCGGAGGAAGGUGAGGACGACGUCAAGUCAUCAUGGCCCUUACGUAUAGGGCUACACACGUGCUACAAUGGAGAAUACAGACGGACGCUAAGCCGCGAGGUGGUGCUAAUCCUAGAAAAUUCUUCGUAGUCCGGAUUGGAGUCUGCAACUCGACUCCAUGAAGUCGGAAUCGCUAGUAAUCGCGAAUCAGCAUGUCGCGGUGAAUACGUUCUCGGGUCUUGUACACACCGCCCGUCAUACCAUGGAAGUGGAUUGCACCAGAAGUAGAUAGUCUAACCUUCGGGAGGGCGUUUACCACGGUGUGCUUCAUGACUGGGGUAAAGUCGUAACAAGGUACC
rnacentral:rRNA from 1 species